GGAGGUAGUGACAAUAAAUCACAAUGCGGAACUUUUGUUUUGCAAUUGGAUUGAGAACAACGCACAACACUUAUCGAUAAACAAUUGGAGGGCAAGUCUGGUGUCAGCAGCCGCGGUAAUUCCAGCUCCAAUAGCGUAUAUUAACGUUGUUGCAGUUAAAAAGCUCGUAGUUGAAGUGAAGUAAUGAAGUUGUGAUUUGAAAUUUUCAUUUCGCUUCUUAAUUACUCUUUCCAAAUUGUUUGCAUGGGUAUUCAUUUAUCUGUGUAUUGCAUUUGGUCAUUUACUGUGAGAAAAUUAGAGUGUUCAAAGCAUACGUUUGUUUGAAUACAUUAGCAUGGAAUAAUUCGAAAAGGCUUUCAUGUUCGAUUUGAUUGGUUUGUUCGUGAGAGCAAGAUUAAAAGGGACAGUUGGGGGUAUUCAUAUUCAAUAGUCAGAGGUGAAAUUCUCGGAUUUAUGGAAGAUGAACAAGUGCGAAAGCA
rnacentral:rRNA from 1 species